rnacentral:rRNA from 1 species
UACGAAGGGGGCUAGCGUUGCUCGGAAUGACUGGGCGUAGAGGGCGCGUAGGCGGAUGGCACAGUCAGAUGUGAAAUUCCCGGGCUUAACCUGGGGGCUGCAUUUGAUACGUGUUGUCUAGAGUGAGGAAGAGGGUUGUGGAAUUCCCAGUGUAGAGGUGAAAUUCGUAGAUAUUGGGAAGAACACCGGUGGCGAAGGCGGCAACCUGGUCCUUGACUGACGCUGAGGCGCGAAAGCGUGGGGAGCAAACAGG